AUGAACGCUGGCGGCGUGCUUAACACAUGCAAGUCGAACGAAGCACUCUAUUUGAUUUUCUUCGGAAAUGAAGAUUUUGUGACUGAGUGGCGGACGGGUGAGUAACGCGUGGGUAACCUGCCUCAUACAGGGGGAUAACAGUUGGAAACGACUGCUAAUACCGCAUAAGCGCACAGGAUUGCAUGAUCCGGUGUGAAAAACUCCGGUGGUAUGAGAUGGACCCGCGUCUGAUUAGCCAGUUGGCAGGGUAACGGCCUACCAAAGCGACGAUCAGUAGCCGGCCUGAGAGGGUGACCGGCCACAUUGGGACUGAGACACGGCCCAAACUCCUACGGGAGGCAGCAGUGGGGAAUAUUGCACAAUGGGGGAAACCCUGAUGCAGCGACGCCGCGUGAGCGAAGAAGUAUUUCGGUAUGUAAAGCUCUAUCAGCAGGGGAGAAGAAUGACGGUACCUGACUAAGAAGCACCGGCUAAAUACGUGCCAGCAGCCGCGGUAAUACGUAUGGUGCAAGCGUUAUCCGGAUUUACUGGGUGUAAAGGGAGCGCAGGCGGUGCGGCAAGUCUGAUGUGAAAGCCCGGGGCUCAACCCCGGUACUGCAUUGGAAACUGUCGUACUAGAGUAUCGGAGGGGUAAGUGGAAUUCCUAGUGUAGCGGUGAAAUGCGUAGAUAUUAGGAGGAACACCAGUGGCGAAGGCGGCUUACUGGACGAUAACUGACGCUGAGGCUCGAAAGCG
rnacentral:rRNA from 1 species